UACGUAGGGUGCAAGCGUUUGUCCGGAAUUAUUGGGCGUAAAGAGCUCGUAGGCGGUCUGUUGCGUCUGCUGUGAAAACCCGGGGCUUAACCCCUAGCUUGCAGUGGAUACGGACAGACUAGAGGUAGGUAGGGGAGAAUGGAAUUCCCGGUGUAGCGGUGAAAUGCGCAGAUAUCGGGAGGAACACCGGUGGCGAAGGCGGUUCUCUGGGCCUUACCUGACGCUGAGGAGCGAAAGCGUGGGGAGCGAACAGG
rnacentral:rRNA from 1 species